rnacentral:rRNA from 1 species
AGUGCGCGCUACCAUGCAAGUCGAGCGGAUGACGGGAGCUUGCUCCUUGAUUCAGCGGCGGACGGGUGAGUAAUACCUAGGAAUCUGCCUGAUAGUGGGGGACAACGUUUCGAAAGGAACGCUAAUACCGCAUACGUCCUACGGGAGAAAGCAGGGGACCUUCGGGCCUUGCGCUAUCAGAUGAGCCUAGGUCGGAUUAGCUAGUUGGUGAGGUAAUGGCUCACCAAGGCGACGAUCCGUAACUGGUCUGAGAGGAUGAUCAGUCACACUGGAACUGAGACACGGUCCAGACUCCUACGGGAGGCAGCAGUGGGGAAUAUUGGACAAUGGGCGAAAGCCUGAUCCAGCCAUGCCGCGUGUGUGAAGAAGGUCUUCGGAUUGUAAAGCACUUUAAGUUGGGAGGAAGGGCAGUAAGCUAAUACCUUGCUGUUUUGACGUUACCGACAGAAUAAGCACCGGCUAACUCUGUGCCAGCAGCCGCGGUAAUACAGAGGGUGCAAGCGUUAAUCGGAAUUACUGGGCGUAAAGCGCGCGUAGGUGGUUCGUUAAGUUGGAUGUGAAAUCCCCGGGCUCAACCUGGGAACUGCAUCCAAAACUGGCGAGCUAGAGUAGGGCAGAGGGUGGUGGAAUUUCCUGUGUAGCGGUGAAAUGCGUAGAUAUAGGAAGGAACACCAGUGGCGAAGGCGACCACCUGGGCUCAUACUGACACUGAGGUGCGAAAGCGUGGGGAGCAAACAGGAUUAGAUACCCUGGUAGUCCACGCCGUAAACGAUGUCAACUAGCCGUUGGAAUCCUUGAGAUUUUAGUGGCGCAGCUAACGCAUUAAGUUGACCGCCUGGGGAGUACGGCCGCAAGGUUAAAACUCAAAUGAAUUGACGGGGGCCCGCACAAGCGGUGGAGCAUGUGGUUAAUUCGAAGCAACGCGAAGACCUUACCAGGCCUUGACUUC